UUUCUUCCUCAGUCAGUAUUGUUCCUGUGUUCAUGCAUAAAUGCCACUGUUAUGUUGUCUCGGUUGUUGUUUUAUUAAAUGUUUCUCCUGCUUCUCGACACACAGCGUCAGCGUUACUGAAUACUGACUCAAACAAAAGAAGCAGCAGGAAAACGGAAUAUCUCCCAGACGGUCAACAAGCAGGGUUACCUUCUACGUCAACAACAUGACCAGCUGGCACGGCUAUGGAAGAGGCUCUUCACAGUUUGCAAGCCUCAAACACGCCCUGGAGGCAUUGCAUUCAGCUAGAGGAGGAUACUCUACAACCAGCCGACACAGCAAGCCAGCUCAGCAACCAGCUCAGGCCGGUGGUUCCUGGUCCCCUAGCUGAUGCUGUCCCCCAUGACUCCCCCUUGGACAUCGAGGGGAGUCCAACAUAUGCUGUCAGAUCCCUACUGGACUCCCGACAUCGUGGGGGUUGGCUCCAUCCAGUACCUGGUGGACUGGGAGGGGUAUGGCCCAGAGGAGCGGUGUUGGGUUCCCAACAUCACCCGUGAUUUCCACCUUCGCCACCCGGACCGGCUCGCUCCUCGUCCUCGGGGUCGUCCCUUUGGUCAGCGUUGUCCUGCGCCGGAAGCUGAGCUUCGCAUUUACUCCCACUCCUCCGGCAUUCGACAUCGCCGGUAUACUAACUACCGAUCCAUCAUUACACACACCUGGCAUCCAUCAUUAAGCGCAUCUGCAGAUCAUCAUGUUACUCACCUGGACUCCAUUACCUUCCUGAUCACCUCCCCUAUAUGUCACUCCCUUGUGUUCCUUCCUCAGUAAGUAUUGUCCAUGCGUAAACGCAACUGUUAUGUUGUCUCUUUUAAUUAAACAUUUCUCCUGCACCUGC